UGGGGAAUAUUGGACAAUGGGCGAAAGCCUGAUCCAGCCAUGCCGCGUGUGUGAAGAAGGUCUUCGGAUUGUAAAGCACUUUAAGUUGGGAGGAAGGGCAGUAAGCGAAUACCUUGCUGUUUUGACGUUACCGACAGAAUAAGCACCGGCUAACUCUGUGCCAGCAGCCGCGGUAAUACAGAGGGUGCAAGCGUUAAUCGGAAUUACUGGGCGUAAAGCGCGCGUAGGUGGUUCGUUAAGUUGAAUGUGAAAGCCCCGGGCUCAACCUGGGAACUGCAUCCAAAACUGGCGAGCUAGAGUUGGGCAGAGGGUGGUGGAAUUUCCUGUGUAGCGGUGAAAUGCGUAGAUAUAGGAAGGAACACCAGUGGCGAAGGCGACCACCUGGGCUCAUACUGACACUGAGGUGCGAAAGCGUGGGGAGCAAACAGG
rnacentral:rRNA from 1 species